AUGAAGUGCAAGACAUGUGCUCACAAAGUAAAUGCAAAAACUGCAUUACAUACAUGGUGUGGUCUAUCAUUCAUACCUGCGUCUCAACUCUCACAAGAAUGUUGAAGGUCGUCAGGAGGUCGUCGACCAGAAAGACCUAGGACCACUGGCAUCAAGAGAUUGAGUACUCCUGAAGAGAAUCAACAUC